GAACUUCCCAAUGUGUUUUCUGAAGGAUCCUGCAGAGAAGCCCCAGGACUCCUUGCAGGAAAGUCCCUUGUCCAACCUAACCAGAGGCACUCAGCCUUCUGUUUUCUAUUUUGACAGAGUUUAUGUGAGAAAAAGAAAAGAUACAGAUACUUAAAACAGAAAACCACUUUCUUGCCCUGCCAAUUAUGAAAAAUCGUAUGUCAAGCGUCUUUUCUGCCAGGUAGGAAUUUGAGAGAGCAGGGAAGGGCUCGGUUUAAUUUCCCUCGGGGUCGUGCUGAAGGGACAAGAGCAAAAAUCUGGAUUUUGUUUUGUUGGUAAAACUAAUCUUCCCACCCAGAAAAAUGUAAAAAGCUACAUUGUUGGGAUCUUUGGAUUUAAAUUCAUUUCAGCGCCGAAAGUCUACAUAUUCCAUAAUUAUGGUGUGCUAUGAAUUAAUAGAGUAAUAUUGAAUAUCUCCAAACCCCUUAUUAUGGCUUCUCACUUGAAAUAUGUUUUCAAUAUGCAUUUAUUCAGCAGUGCUUAAACAUGGCAAGUCAUAAACACAUGCUUUUUAAAUCAUGUGGCUACAUUUUCUUCCUGCUUAAAUGUAAGAUCAGAUGUUAUUAACAGCAGAGGCGGGGGGUAGGGUGGGUAACGAGGAGCUGUUAAAAAACAAAUAGUAUUUUUUAUUUUAAAAGAAAUAUCUUAUAUUUACGAUACUGUUUCCCCACAGCAAAAGAGUAAAGAGUACUUAGAGGCUUUGGGUAGUUUCUCUGGUGACGAUCUGUUUUAUUUUUGUAGCACUCUGCCUCCCAAGAGCAAUGUAUAUUUGAAAUCUGCCAUAUAUUAUGUGAAUAUACUUGACCAACUGAUUUGGUUAGUAGAUGUUCUUGGGCUAAGAUCCAAGAAGAAGAGGAGCUGAAGAUCCAGCUCUCAGAUAAUUAAGAACAUGGUCCAAAUGGCUGGAGCCUGAAGAGGCUUUCCAUAACUGUCUCAAAAGUGAGAAUUUACCUUCCUGUUUUGUGGCAAGUGGCCCAGGCACGGAGCCACAAGAUGAGGGAAUUCCUCCCAGGCAGUGUGAUGAAGUAUUUUGGAAAAGGAGGCUUUGCUCUCCAAGACAUGUAAAGUUCACUUUAAAGGCCAGCCUUUCCAUAUCUUAUGCCAAACAGGCCUGAGUCCUAUGCUUGCAAUUUCACAUGCUGACACCAGGUGGCAGCAAUACUGAGGUCGUGCCUGAUUGGCUUUUUGUUUGUUUGUUUUGUUUGUUUUUUGUUUUUUUUAGGGCCGAAGUCAUAGCAUGUAAAGUUCCCAGGCUAGGGGGUCGAACCAGAGCUGCAGCUUCCAGCCUAGGCCACAGCCACAGCAACACCAGACUGGAGCCACAUUUGUGACCUACACCACAGCUCAUGACAACGCUGGGUCCUUAACCCACUGAACAAAGCCAGGGAUCGAACCUGCGUCCUCAUGGAUACUAGCUGGGUUCUUUUCAUUGCGCCACAAUAGGAAUGAUUUCCUCUUUCCCUAAUUUCCUCUGCUACAUAGCUGAGGAUCCCUUUAGUACAGGUACUGAGUUGGUAGGUAUUUGAAGAAUCUAAAGAGAUUCUUUAUGAAAGAAGAACACUUGCUGAAAGCACUACAGAGGCUGCCUCCACUUACAAAUCUAAUGCAUUCAUUGUAAAGGCCAUGUCAACGUACAUUAACAAAAAGCUCUAUUUUUAAAAUACAUCUGAAAUAAUUAUGGUGUGGUUUUAUAGAGGGGAACAAUAUUGUGUUUAUAUAAACAUAAUAAGCUCUAGGGAGUUCCUGUCAUGGCUCAGUGGUUAACGAACCCAGCUAGUAUCCAUGAGGACUAGGGUUCAAUCCCUGUUCCUGCUCAGUGGGUUAAGGAUCCUGCAUUGCUGUGGCUGUGGUGUAGGCCGGCAGCUACAUCUCCGAUUCAACCCCUAGCCUGAGAGUCUCCAUAUACUGCGAGAGUGGCCUAAAAAGACAAAAACAACAACAAGAAAAACAUAAUGUGCCCUAUACCACAACUCAACAAGAUGUAUAAACUUCUGGAUACAUAUUUUACUAACCCGAAUAAGAAAUCCCACAGAUAAAAUAAAUAUACUGGUAUCAGGAAAUACUAGAACGAUGAUAAUAGUAGUGAAGUAAAUCUAAAACAUUAAGAUAAUGGGCCAGACUUAAUGCCUAAUAAGCUGCUUGGCUUGUGGCUUGUUAUUUCACAAGAGAAUAGAAUAGUUUAUUAUUUUUGCAUCUUGUGCUUUUAGUUUUCCAUGGGUAAUCCAAGGACAUGGAUUAUGUUUGGAUAUGUUUCAUUGUUGAGCAGGGAGAGGGGAGAUGGCAUUUUCUAAGUGCCAGCAAAUAAAGCAAGCACUGACUUUGCAAAUGAUAUAUCUAGGUUUCUGCUUUGUUGGUUCAAUUCUGCUGAGUCUUGGCAGGAAUCAUAAAAUGAUCUGAUAGAAGGAGCAAAAAGUAACCUGUAGAACUAGUGUAGACAGUGCUAAGUGAAUAAGAAAACCAAUUACAAAAUUUGAGUUAAAAGCAGAACUGUCUAAUUAAAAAGUUAUUAAGUUAUAUAAUUGAGAGCAGGAUUUCAAGAAGUAUGAACUCCUGGGCAAAAUUAAAUGCCUUACUUCCUACCACUUUAUCUCUUCUGAAUUAGUCUUAAUUUAAACCCUGGCUUCCUCUCGUGUGGGUAGUGACACAGACUCCACUGAGUCUUAGCGUUCUUCUGGGGCUUCUCAGAGUUCCUCCCUAGAAGAAAAGUUGAGUCCUUCCUUGUGUCUGCCCAUGUAUCCUCACUUAAGAAAUGCUUUCUCCAUGUGCCACGCUUGAAGGAACUCCCAGAUCAUGUUUUAUUCAACUCAGCUCUAACUUCUUACCAUAGUCAAGGUCCAGUUUAACCCUUUCAUAACCAGUUAUCAGAAAGCAAGAUAAGAUUCAGUCUGUUUGAGUUAGAAGCCCAGCUUCACUAUUUGCUGGCCAUGAAACCUUGAGCAAAUAACCAAGAGCAUUUGUAAAAUUAGAGUAAAAUAAUGCCCACCUUGAAGGUGGAGAAGGAGGGAUGGGAACUAUGUGUAGUGCUUAGGUUCUGUGUAUACCUGGUUCAUAGUUAAGUAUGCAACUCAGUAAAUGUAGUUAUUAUUAAUAGUGCUAUUAUUAAUAAUAAUGGUUCCUCAAUUACCUUUUCUGAAUCUGAGGGUUACUCAGGGUUCUUAAACUUGCUUUUUUUUUCCCCUUUCUUUUUUUAAUUGAAGUAUAGUUGAUAUACAGUGUUGCAGAUGUAUAGCAAAGUGAUUCAUAUAUAUGCAAUACAUUCAUUUUCAGAUUCUUUUCCAUGAUAUAUUAUUAUAAGACAUUGAAUAGAGCUCCCUGUGCUAUACAGUUGGGCCCUGUUGUUAUCUGUUGUAUAUAUAGCCGUGUGUAUCUGUUAAUCCCAAAUUCCCAAUUUCUCUCUCACCCACUACCCCUUUGGUAACCAUAAGUUUGUUUUCUAUGUCUGUGAGUCUAUUUCUGUUUUGUAAGAUCACCUGAACUGUUUUUUUAGAUUCCACAUAUAAGUGAGGUCAUAUGAUAUUUGUCUUUCUCUGACUUCCUUCCUUGGUAGGAUAAUCUCUGGGUCCAUCCAUGUUGUUGCAAAUGGCAGUGUUUUAUAUGGCUGCGUAAUAGUCCAUUGUGUAUAUGGACCACAUCGUCUUGAUCCAUUUAUCUAUCAAUGGACACUUGCAUUGCUUCCAUGUCUUGGCUGUUGUAAAUAGGACCGCGGUGAACACUGGGUGCAUGUAUCUUUUCAAAUUAGUUUUUGCCUUUUUCAGAUAUAUGUCCGGGGGUGGGACUGCUGAAUCAUAUGGUAGCUCUGCUUUUAGUUUUUUUUAAGGAUCUUGUUUUUAUACUAUUAAGUAAAAGCAGAGAAAGGGCCCUGCUUCGCAAAUCCUGUGGGACUACCACACCUUCUCUUUCCAUUCAGUAUCUGAAUGUCAGCAUACAACCAGGGCCCUUAGCAGUGGCUUUGUUGGGCUCCUCUGGUGUGGUAUUUGCUGAACAUGCCUGUUUAUUUAUUGACUUUUUUUUAUUAUUUUGUUUUUUUAGGGCCAUACCCACAGCACAUGGAGGUUCCCAGGCUAGGGGUUGAAUCAGAGCUGUAGCUGCUGGCCUGGGCCACAGCCAUAGCAACACAGAAUCCGAACCAUGUCUGUGACCUACAGCACAGCUCAUGGCAAUGCCAGAUUGUUAACCCACUGAGCAAGGCCAGGGAUUGAACCUGUGUCCUCAUGGAUGCUAGUCAGAUUCGUUAACCAGUGAGCCACAAUAGGAACCUCCAGAACACACCUGUUUAGAUGCAGGCUUUUUCUUGUCAGAGGACAUAUUUCUUUUCAAAGAAAACAUUAUAAACAAACACAUUAACCAUGUUUCAGGUUUGUGUUUUGUUUUGUUUAAAGAGUCCUCAUGUGGUGCAGAAAGACUCGUCAGAGUCAAAAAGGGAGGGGGUGCCACCUUAUAAUAGGUGUUGUCAAUCUUCCCAUAAACCCCCCCACUGGAAUCCGUCUUGGCUGAAAAAUAUGCAUACAUACCCAGGAAGGCCCUGGGUUUGAUCAGGUGUGAGAAACAAAGCAGGGUAACUGGCCAGGGGAAGGCAAAGACCCCGAAGACCUGCCCCUGUAUUAGUGAUUUAAAUCACCCCUUUGGCACACUUCCCACAAGCAGGGCGUCCAAACUCCUCUCUGAAUGUGCUGUUUUGCUUCUAAACUGUUUCCCUGUGUGCUCUCCCACAUGUGCUGUGCUUAUGAUGAUAAACUUUGUGCCUGUUUUUAAAAAAAAAAAAAGAAAAAGAAAAAGUA
rnacentral:lncRNA from 9 species